rnacentral:tRNA from 2 species
GCGGAUGUAGCGCAGCUGGUAGCGCAUCACCUUGCCAAGGUGAGGGUCGCGGGUUCGAAUCCCGUCAUCCGCUCUA